rnacentral:rRNA from 1 species
GAUGAACGCUGGCGGCGUGCCUAACACAUGCAAGUCGAGCGAUUUACUUCGGUAAAGAGCGGCGGACGGGUGAGUAACACGUGGGUAACCUGCCCUGUACACACGGAUAACAUACCGAGAGGUAUGCUAAUACGAGAUAAUAUGCUUUUAUCGCAUGGUAGAAGUAUCAAAGCUUUUGCGGUACAGGAUGGACCCGCGUCUGAUUAGCUAGUUGGUAAGGUAACGGCUUACCAAGGCGACGAUCAGUAGCCGACCUGAGAGGGUGAUCGGCCACAUUGGAACUGAGACACGGUCCAAACUCCUACGGGAGGCAGCAGUGGGGAAUAUUGCACAAUGGGCGAAAGCCUGAUGCAGCAACGCCGCGUGAGCGAUGAAGGUCUUCGGGUCGUAAAGCUCUGUCCUCAAGGAAGAUAAUGACGGUACUUGAGGAGGAAGCCCCGGCUAACUACGUGCCAGCCGCCGCAGUAA